UCUAUAACAGUUAAUACAUGCCCGGUAUCUUUAAUAGGUGCUACAAUAUCAAUACUAAUAAAAUCCCCAGGGCGAGUAGGUAUGUACACAUUUUUUAAGGGGGCUGGUUUGACAGAAUAAUGUUUGAUGCGAAUACAUGCAUCACAAGAUAACACAUAGUUUAACGUGUCAGCAUAGUAGCCUUUCCAA